UACGUAGGUGGCAAGCGUUGUUCGGAAUUAUUGGGCGUAAAGGGCGCGUAGGCGGUUUGUUAAGUCGGUCGUGAAAGCCCGGGGCUCAACCCCGGAGGGUCGACCGAUACUGGCAGGCUCGAGUUCGGAAGAGGCGAGUGGAAUUCCCGGUGUAGCGGUGAAAUGCGCAGAUAUCGGGAGGAACACCAAUGGCGAAGGCAGCUCGCUGGGACGUUACUGACGCUGAGACGCGAAAGCGUGGGGAGCAAACAGG
rnacentral:rRNA from 1 species